UUGAACGCUGGCGGCAGGCCUAACACAUGCAAGUCGAACGGUAACAGGAAGCAGCUUGCUGCUUCGCUGACGAGUGGCGGACGGGUGAGUAAUGUCUGGGAAGCUGCCUGAUGGAGGGGGAUAACUACUGGAAACGGUAGCUAAUACCGCAUAAUGUCGCAAGACCAAAGAGGGGGACCUUAGGGCCUCUUGCCAUCGGAUGUGCCCAGAUGGGAUUAGCUUGUUGGUGGGGUAACGGCUCACCAAGGCGACGAUCCCUAGCUGGUCUGAGAGGAUGACCGGCCACACUGGAACUGAGACACGGUCCAGACUCCUACGGGAGGCAGCAGUGGGGAAUAUUGCACAAUGGGCGCAAGCCUGAUGCAGCCAUGCCGCGUGUAUGAAGAAGGCCUUCGGGUUGUAAAGUACUUUCAGCGGGGAGGAAGGGAGUAAAGUUAAUACCUUUGCUCAUUGACGUUACCCGCAGAAGAAGCACCGGCUAACUCCGUGCCAGCAGCCGCGGUAAUACGGAGGGUGCAAGCGUUAAUCGGAAUUACUGGGCGUAAAGCGCACGCAGGCGGUUUGUUAAGUCAGAUGUGAAAUCCCCGGGCUCAACCUGGGAACUGCAUCUGAUACUGGCAAGCUUGAGUCUCGUAGAGGGGGGUAGAAUUCCAGGUGUAGCGGUGAAAUGCGUAGAGAUCUGGAGGAAUACCGGUGGCGAAGGCGGCCCCCUGGACGAAGACUGACGCUCAGGUGCGAAAGCGUGGGGAGCAAACAGGAUUAGAUACCCUGGUAGUCCACGCCGUAAACGAUGUCGACUUGGAGGUUGUGCCCUUGAGGCGUGGCUUCCGGAGCUAACGCGUUAAGUCGACCGCCUGGGGAGUACGGCCGCAAGGUUAAAACUCAAAUGAAUUGACGGGGGCCCGCACAAGCGGUGGAGCAUGUGGUUUAAUUCGAUGCAACGCGAAGAACCUUACCUGGUCUUGACAUCCACGGAAGUUUUCAGAGAUGAGAAUGUGCCUUCGGGAACCGUGAGACAGGUGCUGCAUGGCUGUCGUCAGCUCGUGUUGUGAAAUGUUGGGUUAAGUCCCGCAACGAGCGCAACCCUUAUCCUUUGUUGCCAGCGGUCCGGCCGGGAACUCAAAGGAGACUGCCAGUGAUAAACUGGAGGAAGGUGGGGAUGACGUCAAGUCAUCAUGGCCCUUACGACCAGGGCUACACACGUGCUACAAUGGCGCAUACAAAGAGAAGCGACCUCGCGAGAGCAAGCGGACCUCAUAAAGUGCGUCGUAGUCCGGAUUGGAGUCUGCAACUCGACUCCAUGAAGUCGGAAUCGCUAGUAAUCGUGGAUCAGAAUGCCACGGUGAAUACGUUCCCGGGCCUUGUACACACCGCCCGUCACACCAUGGGAGUGGGUUGCAAAAGAAGUAGGUAGCUUAACCUUCGGGAGGGCGCUUACCACUUUGUGAUUCAUGACUGGGGUG
rnacentral:rRNA from 1 species